CGUGUAGGUGGUUCGGAAAGUCGGAUGUGAAAGUCCGGAGCUCAACUCCGGAAGUGCAUCCGAUACUCCCGAGCUAGAGUCCCGGAGAGGAAGGCAGAAUUCCCAAUGUAGGGGUGAAAUCCGUAGAUAUUGGGAGGAAUACCGGUGGCGAAGGCGGCCUUCUGGACGGUGACUGACACUGAGACGCGAAAGCGUGGGGAGCAAACA
rnacentral:rRNA from 1 species